rnacentral:rRNA from 1 species
UACGUAGGGGGCAAGCGUUGUCCGGAUUUAUUGGGCGUAAAGAGCGUGUAGGCGGCUAGGUAGGUCCGUUGUGAAAACUCGAGCUCAACCUCGAGACGCCGGUGGAAACCAUCUAGCUAGAGUCCGGAAGAGGAGAGUGGAAUUCCUGGAUGUAGCGGUGAAAUGCGCAGAUAUCAGGAAGAACACCCGUGGCGAAGGCGGCUCUCUGGGACGUGACUGACGCUGAGACGCGAAAGCGUGGGGAGCGAACAGG